rnacentral:siRNA from 1 species
AUACGUGUUUAACCCAUUUCGAGU